GCUGGCUUCCAGAUAUUGGUACUUAUAGCCUCCUUAGCUGAUAUUCAUGGGCAUCCAGGUUUGAUAACCUGCUCAGAGGUACCAUGAGGAGAAAUCAGGUAGCCAAAUAGAGGAGGGAAUAUAAGGCAUCUCAUUCGGAUCCACUUUUAACAACCCACGUGCUCUAGAGCUCCGUUUUGUAUCUGGUCCUCCAUUUCCUCACCUAUUAAACAGAGAUAGUCUUUCUCAUCUUACAUUCUGCCAGAGCUAUUGUGAGGAGUAAAAUAAAUACAUGUGUGGCAGGUUGAGUUCCUCAGGAAGUAGAUUCAGGUGGAGGUUGGCAGGCAGGAUGUUCAUUGGUCAGUGUUCUCACGCCUGCGGGAGGAAAGGAAGUAUAGCAGGUGGGUGGGAAGACAGAGGCUCGUGGGCUCGGCACGGAGAAGACGCUGCAGAGCUGUUGUGAGUUGGCCGGAGGCAGCCUUUCUCCCCACCACCCACUGGCUGUAGUCAGGAAUCUGUCUCCAAGCAAGGCAAUCCUCGAAAAGGACUGGUUCCCCAGACCUUCAUUCCUGGAGGAGGAUCCUAAUGGCACAUCUCAGGUGAAGAUGCUGCCUUGGGUAAAAUGACACUUACAAGCUCCCCAUUUUGUAAAGAGAAGGACCAUGGCUUGAACUCACAUAGCACCAAGUACAAGGCAACAUGAAGCUGGAUCCAAAUGGAAGGUCACUCAGUUGCUGCUCACCUGUCAGAGGCAGAAGAGGAGGAGCAGGGAGAAGAGAGGAGAGAUCCAUGUGCAAAUGAAGACAGAGGUUGGAGUUGCAUGGACACAAACCAAGGAAUGCUGGAGCCAACAGAACCUGGAAGAAGCAAGGAAGGAUUGUCCCUGGGGGCUUCAGAUGUCACCUUUGCUGACACCUUGAUUUGGACUCUGGCUUUGAGAUCUGUUAGAAAUAAUUUUUAUCAUUUUAAACCACUCAAUUUGUAACAUUUGUUGCAAAGUACUUUUCCAACUUGAGCUUUGAAAUAUUCCAGGAGAUAUUGUGGCAACUUAAGGUUUGUCUCCCCAAAGGGAUCAUAAGGUUUCCCUCAGAGAUCUAUGAGGGCAACAGCUGCAUAUUUAACUCAUCAUCCUGUCCACAUGCAUGGAUAGCUAAUUGGGUAAUCAUAAGUAUGACAUUGUGAUUUAUAAGAAAUAUAUAUUUGGUCAUUCAGAUAACCAAAAUAUACUUCUCAUAUAUAUUUGGUCUUUGUCCAAAAAUUUUUUCUCACAGCUCCUAAAACCCUUGGAAUUUCCUGUAAUAAUAGCAAUAAAGGUAUGUUUGGUUAGGUUAAUGAGGUGACUUUUUGAAAGCCUAGCCUAAGGAUGAGGGACUGGUUGCCAGGAGAAACAACCUUGUGAUUGGAGGGUUGAAAAUUUCAGGCUCCCCUCUUCCCCCACACCUGGGGAGAGGAGAGAACUGGGGGGGGUGGAGCUGGAGGUUUUAAUGGCUUGUGAUUAAAUCAUCCAUGUCCGUAAUGAAACCUCCAUACAAACUGUAAAGGAGAGGGCUUGGAGAACUUUUGUUAGGGACAUUGACUGAAAUUGCCCACUUUGGAAGGCACAAUAAUAGCUGCUUGCAUGAGUUGUCUCACAACAGGAGGCCCUGAUAGGGAGCAUGAUGCUGCCCUGAAAACUAAGCUAGAGAAUUGGGGAGGGGUCACUAGGAGUGAGGAGACCACCAACCUCCCAGAAUCUUGGCGCUGGAAUCCAUCUUGGCUGAGAGGCGCACUUGGCACCAAGAAGGAUCCUGAGCCAGACCACUUGUGGGCCAAACAAGAUGAUUGGCCAGAAACACCCUGAAAACUAACCCCCCCAUAAAACCAGAGACUUCAACCCACAUGGCAUAGCAGCUCUCCUGGGUUCCUUCACCCUACUGCUCUCUGCCAGGUGCCCCUUCCCAAUAAAAUUUUCUGCUUUGUCAGCACGCAUGUCUCCUCAGAUAGUUCAUUUCUCAGUGUUAGACAAGAUCUCAUUCUAGGUUUCUGAAGGGGUCCCCCUUCCUGUCACACCUUGGGGUCGGUGAACACGUGAAGGUGAUAGGAUGAUAGCUAAUGACUGCCUGGGAAAUGUGUGGAAGCUCCUCGCCCUUUCCCCAUGCCUUGCUGUAAGCAUCUCUUCUGUCUGGUUGUUCCUGAGUUACCUUCUUUAAAACAAACCAGUGGAUUACAAACAAGUAAGUGGAUUGUUUUUCUGAGUUCUGUGAGCUGCUCUAGUGAGUCAAUCACACUCAAGUUGGUGGUCUUAGGAACCUCAUAUUUAUAGCUAGUUGUGCAGAAAUAUACAAGUAACAACCAGGGCUUUUGACCAAUGUCUGAAGUGCGAUGGUGGGGGGGCUGCCUGGUAGGACUCUACCCUUAACCUGUGGAAUCUGAUGCUGUCUCUGGGUAAAGAUGGUCAGAAUUGUGUUGAAUCAUAGGACACCCAAUUGGUGUUGUGAGAAUUUCUUGUUGCUGUGGGGUGGGACUCCCUCC